CCUACGGGAGGCAGCAGUGGGGAAUCUUGCGCAAUGGGCGAAAGCCUGACGCAGCAACGCCGCGUGCGGGAAGAAGGCCUUCGGGUUGUAAACCGCUUUCAGAAGGAACGAAAAUGACGGUACUUUCAGAAGAAGGUGCGGCCAACUACGUGCCAGCAGCCGCGGUGACACGUAGGCACCAAGCGUUGUCCGGAUUUAUUGGGCGUAAAGAGCUCGUAGGCGGUUCGGUAAGUCGGGUGUGAAAACUUUGGGCUCAACCCAAAGCGUGCAUUCGAUACUGUCGUGACUAGAGUUCGGUAGGGGAGCGGGGAAUUCCUAGUGUAGCGGUGAAAUGCGCAGAUAUUAGGAGGAACACCGGUGGCGAAGGCGCCGCUCUGGGCCGAAACUGACGCUGAGGAGCGAAAGCGUGGGUAGCAAACAGGAUUAGAUACCCUGGUAGUCCACGCCGUAAACGUUGGGCACUAGGUGUGGGUCUCAACCAACGAGAUCCGCGCCGUCGCAAACGCAUUAAGUGCCCCGCCUGGGGAGUACGGCCGCAAGGUUAAAACUCAAAGUAGUAGUGACGNGNGAGACGCGAACGACGCGACGACGAGGAG
rnacentral:rRNA from 1 species